UCAAUACAUGUAAUCCAUCACAUAAACAGAACCAAUGACAAAAACCACAUGAUUAUCUCAAUAGAUGCAGAAAAGGCCUUCCAUAAAAACCCUAGAAGAAAACCUAGGCAAUACCAUUCAGGACAUAGGCAUGGGCAAGGACUUCAUGACUAAAACACCAAAAGCAAUGGCAACAAAAGCCAAAAUUGACAAAUGGGAUCUAAUUCAACUAAAGAGCUUCUGCACAGCAAAAGAAACUACUAUCAGAGUGAACAGGCAAGCUACAGAAUGGGAGAAAAUUUUUGCAA
rnacentral:lncRNA from 1 species